GGCCUCGCAGUGUAGAUCUGGAAUGAGUAUGGAUAGACCUCCUAAGGUCUCUAAGCUCAAGAUUAAAAUCGUCGCUUACGCACCGGAACCGCAUUCAUAGGCAUGCCUAUGUUUGCAAACUUCACGUUGAGGAUAAAUUUAUCAAAGAUGAUAAAAGAGUGCCUUUCUCAUGGCCUACAUUAUUCUCAGAAGUGGAAAUAGCAUGUCGAAAACCCACUUGUCCUGUAACUGUCUCUGUUCGGACAGUGGGAGAUCAUACUUAUGCUAUACCACUGCAGAUAAAUGCAGAGUUGGUGACCCGGAAAAGAAAAAGGACCACAGAAAUCAGACCACACACACAAUAUUCAACGUAUCGACUGACAAAAAUAAAAGUGAUGUUACUUAGUUUAACAUGCUCGAUGGUUUAAUAC